rnacentral:rRNA from 1 species
AGAGAUGCACUGGGCGUAAAGUGUGCGCAGGCGGUUUUGUAAGACAGAGGUGAAAUCCCCGGGCUCAACCUGGGAACUGCCUUUGUGACUGCAAGGCUGGAGUGCGGCAGAGGGGGAUGGAAUUCCGCGUGUAGCAGUGAAAUGCGUAGAUAUGCGGAGGAACACCGAUGGCGAAGGCAAUCCCCUGGGCCUGCACUGACGCUCAUGCACGAAAGCGUGGGGAGCAAACA